AUGGUGUUCUGUUGUUGGUCCGUGUCUUUGUUCAGCCAUUUCCCAUUCACGAUCGAAGCCCACACUUUGUCUCCCAGCACACCCCUAGGGCUUACUGACUCCCCUUUCCAUUUUGUAGAUAAUCCAAUUGUGGUAAUCAGCAGCUCUGAAGAGACUGAAGAAAGUCAGUCCUCCAGUGAUUUCGGGGACAGCAGCGACCCCGAAGAUCUCAUGGAAUGCUCAGGCAGCACAAGGCCUGCUCCCGGUCACCCCAAUGAAAACCUCAGAGAGUGCGGCCAGGAAAGCCGAUCCCUGGUGUUCUUUGACCUGAAGAUUGACAGCAAAAGUGAGUCUCUCAUCAACACCCCCUUGCCCCUCCUGCUUCACCUCCAGGGUCCCAGGAGGUGAAACAGGUCACAUGGGUAUUCUUAUGUCAUCUCAGAACGGGAAAAGCAUCCCCAAGCUGGCCUGGUGAGGUGGUCAGCGAGUGGAUGCUAUCCACUGGUCCCUAAGGGUGUGGAGUAUCAGAACGAAGGUCCUGGGGAAGGUUCAUGGAUGGAUUCCAAAUUCCACAAGUCAACACUUUCAUAGUUCCAAGGGAUUUAAAGCUGGUUGGGACCUCAGGGAAUCAUCUGAUCUGAUUAAUUUCUUUCUGAAAAUUGAGACCUAGAGAUUCCAGCAAUUUGCCCGAUGUCAUCCAGGCAGGAAGUAGUCCAGGUAUCAGCACCUCUGCCCAAGGGACACUUAAAGAUCUUAGGGUACGGUUCUGAAAUCAUUUUGGGGAGAACAAACCAGGGAGGGGCAACUCACUCCCCAUCUCAGUUUCCUUAUAUGAAAAAUGGAUGUUUGAACUAAAUGGUAGUUAAUACCAUGAGUCAAGGCAGGUUCCCCAAAGAAUUAGUUCUUCCGCUCAAUUCACCUCUUCCUGAAAAUAGAGCCCUCGAAGGGCCAGCCAUUUAAUCCUUUUCAUCCCAAAUUCUCCAAGUGAUGCCCAGAAACCUCAUUUCUGUGGUGUAAGUCCAGGGUCCCGGCUGGCCCAUCUUAACAAGAAUGCCUUACUUUGGGAGAGCAACAUGAAAAUCAAAGGGAACACUUUCUUUCCCAUUACAGUCAGCUGCAGUAUCCACUGCCAGGGGGGUCUGGUCACUCUCUCUAAAGGGUCACUCUCUCCAAAGUAGUCCCCAAAUGGACAUUUAUUCUACCAGUUUUUCUUAUGCCAGUUGUAAUCAAGGUGUUCAUGAUGCUAUAUGUAAAUUGAGGUUCUAGAAACUAAAAUAUUUCCUUCCUCCUGUUUUAAAUUAUAUUGUAGAAAAUAACAUGUAUACAAGUAAGUCGAUACAAAACAAACACAAAAUAGUUUAGAAAGACCCCAACAACUUGGGGAAGGGGGCAAGGGGAUCCCAGAAAAGCCCCAUAUAGGAAGUACCUCUUGAGUCAUUAGAGCUCCAUGGGCUAUAAUGGGGGUGGGAAAGGAUGGGCAUAUAGAGACAGAUUUUAGACAUCCCUGUAAACUGAUGAAGAGGAGAAAAUUUAAAUGCUUUCCAAGUCCUAAACUCUAAAGUAAGCCCUCUGCCCCUUGCUCUGAGACUGCAAGGAAAUAAGCAUUUAUAUAGUACCUACUGUAUACCAGGUACUUUUUUUUUUUACAAAUACUAUCUCAUUUGAUUAGCAUGUCCCAGACAAGCUGGUAGAUUUUAUGAGGGUCAAAUGAGACAAUAUUCAUGAAGUGCUUUGCAAACCCUAAAAUAUCAUUGAAAUGUUGAAUAAUAUUGUUAUUAUUUUCAUUGUUGUUAAUAUCGUUUCCUCAAGCAGGCAACCCAAACUGGGAGCAAAGCCCGGUCUGUAAUGAGGUUCUAGUAUAGUUAGAAGAAUCCCUGGGGGACACGUCUUCAGUGCAAUACUGAAGAAGAGUAAAAGACUGCAGAGGAGAUGGAACUCCCCACAUCUCAGGGGUUGGAAAAACUAACUGACACUAAAUGUGUUAGAGACCCCUGGGGACAGUGGGUGGUCAGUGAGGGGCGCCUGGUUCGGUCCUGGUCUUUGGUCCCUUACUCGCUGGUGACUUUCUACGGCCCCCUUGUCCCCCCUUGGUAUCCUCAGCUAUAAAAUGGGGAUAACAAUCACAGGCUUGUGAGGAUCAUAUACGAUACUAUUUAUUCUUUAAAACAAAAUGCUUAGCACAUAGGAGGCCUUUAAUAAUUGUUUUUCCCUUUCAGUUAACAAACCUUUAUUAAACACCUGCUCUGUGCCGGGCAUGGUGUGACCGGUUCCCCCUGAAUUUCCUCAAAAACCUUCAUCAGAGGGAUCGGGUCUUACAAGGAGGGUUGGGAGGCGCUGGAUCUGGGACCGCACUGAACAAGGGCAGGGAAAGUUCUUCUACUGGGGCA
ensembl:lncRNA